rnacentral:tRNA from 1 species
CUUGUUGGUGGACCAGGUGGUCGACGGCCAAGGCCUGUUCGGCAUGUCGCCACGGGCCAACCGCCUGAUCGUGGAGCAGGGCGGCAAGC